rnacentral:rRNA from 1 species
GGAAAUAGCCCAGCACUGAAUCCCGCGGUUGUCACGGCCGCGGGAGAUGUGGUGUUCGGGAGGUUCCGCUUUCUCGUCUUCGCGUCUCCUGUCCAAGUUCGUCUUGAACGGGGCCGUUUUCCCGUAGAGGGUGCCAGGCCCGUAGCGACGGAGGGCGGCGGCGAGAGGGACUCUCCUCAGAGUCGGGUUGCUUGAGAGUGCAGCCCUAAGUGGGUGGUAAACUCCAUCUAAGGCUAAAUAUUACCGCGAGACCGAUAGCGAACAAGUACCG